CCUACGGGAGGCAGCAGUGAGGAAUAUUGGUCAAUGGACGAGAGUCUGAACCAGCCAAGUAGCGUGAAGGAUGACUGCCCUAUGGGUUGUAAACUUCUUUUAUAUGGGAAUAAAAUGUUCCACGUGUGGGAUUUUGUAUGUACCAUAUGAAUAAGGAUCGGCUAACUCCGUGCCAGCAGCCGCGGUAAUACGGAGGAUCCGAGCGUUAUCCGGAUUUAUUGGGUUUAAAGGGAGCGUAGGGGGAUUGGUAAGUCAGUUGUGAAAGUUUGCGGCUCAACCGUAAAAUUGCAGUUGAAACUGGCAGUCUUGAGUACAGUAGAGGUGGGCGGAAUUCGUGGUGUAGCGGUGAAAUGCUUAGAUAUCACGAAGAACUCCGAUUGCGAAGGCAGUUCACUGGACUGCAACUGACACUGAGGCUCGAAAGUGUGGGUAUCAAACAGGAUUAGAUACCCUUGUAGUC
rnacentral:rRNA from 1 species